rnacentral:rRNA from 1 species
GGCGGCGUGCCUAAUACAUGCAAGUCGAGCGCAGGAAACAAGUAGAUCCCUUCGGGGUGACGCUUGUGGAAUGAGCGGCGGACGGGUGAGUAACACGUGGGCAACCUACCUUGUAGACUGGGAUAACUCCGGGAAACCGGAGCUAAUACGGGAUGAUCAUUUGAAUCGCAUGAUUGAAAUGUAAAAGUGGGGAGUAAUCCUCACACUAUGAGAUGGGCCCGCGGCGCAUUAGCUAGUUGGUAAGGUAAUGGCUUACCAAGGCAACGAUGCGUAGCCGACCUGAGAGGGUGAUCGGCCACACUGGAACUGAGACACGGUCCAGACUCCUACGGGAGGCAGCAGUAGGGAAUCAUCCGCAAUGGGCGAAAGCCUGACGGUGCAACGCCGCGUGAAUGAUGAAGGUUUUCGGAUCGUAAAGUUCUGUUAUGAGGGAAGAACAAGUGCCGUUCGAAUAGGGCGGCACCUUGACGGUACCUCACGAGAAAGCCCCGGCUAACUACGUG